rnacentral:rRNA from 1 species
GAUGAACGCUAGCUACAGGCUUAACACAUGCAAGUCGAGGGACCGGCGCACGGGUGAGUAACACGUAUCCAACCUGCCCUUUACUCGGGGACAGCCUUUCGAAAGAAAGAUUAAUACCCGAUAUAAUGGAUGGGGAUGCGUUCCAUUAGGUUGUUGGUGAGGUAACGGCACACCAAGCCUUCGAUGGAUAGGGGUUCGGAGAGGAAGGUCCCCUACAUUGAACAUGCGACACGGACCAAACUCGUACGGGAGGCAGCAGUGAGGAAUAUUGGUCAAUGUGCGCUAGCCUGAACCAGCCAAAUAGCGUUAAGGAUGAAGGCUUAUGGAUCGUAAACUUCUUUUAUAUAAGAAUAUGUAUUAUAUGAAUAAGGAUCGGCUAACUCCGUGCCAGCAGCCGCGGUAAUUC